GACGAACGCUGGCGGCGUGCCUAAUACAUGCAAGUAGAACGCUGAAGGAGGAGCUUGCUUCUCUGGAUGAGUUGCGAACGGGUGAGUAACGCGUAGGUAACCUGCCUGGUAGCGGGGGAUAACUAUUGGAAACGAUAGCUAAUACCGCAUAAGAGUAGAUGUUGCAUGACAUUUGCUUAAAAGGUGCAAUUGCAUCACUACCAGAUGGACCUGCGUUGUAUUAGCUAGUUGGUGGGGUAACGGCUCACCAAGGCGACGAUACAUAGCCGACCUGAGAGGGGGAUCGGCCACACUGGGACUGAGACACGGCCCAGACUCCUACGGGAGGCAGCAGUAGGGAAUCUUCGGCAAUGGACGGAAGUCUGGCCGAGCAACGCCGCGUGAGUGAAGAAGGUUUUCGGAUCGUAAAGCUCUGUUGUAAGAGAAGAACGAGUGUGAGAGUGGAAAGUUCACACUGUGACGGUAUCUUACCAGAAAGGGACGGCUAACUACGUG
rnacentral:rRNA from 1 species